GAUGAACGCUGGCGGCGUGCCUAAUACAUGCAAGUCGAGCGAACGGACGAGAAGCUUGCUUCUCUGAUGUUAGCGGCGGACGGGUGAGUAACACGUGGAUAACCUACUUAUAAGACUGGGAUAACUUCGGGAAACCGGAGCUAAUACCGGAUAAUAUUUUGAACCGCAUGGUUCAAAAGUGAAAGACGGUCUUGCUGUCACUUAUAGAUGGAUCCGCGCUGCAUUAGCUAGUUGGUAAGGUAACGGCUUACCAAGGCAACGAUGCAUAGCCGACCUGAGAGGGUGAUCGGCCACACGGGAGCUGAGACACGGUCCAGACUCCUACGGGAGGCAGCAGUAGGGAAUCUGCCGCAAUGGGCGAAAGCCUGACGGAGCAACGCCGCGUGAGUGAUGAAGGUCUUCGGAGCGUAAAACUCUGUUAUUAGGGAAGAACAUAUGUGUAAGUAACUGUGCACAUCUUGACGGUACCUAAUCAGAAAGCCACGGCUAACUACGUG
rnacentral:rRNA from 1 species